CCUGAAUAGCAGACUCACGGUUUAGCUCUAACUCUGGUGCUUGACCUUUAAUCCGAGAAAAUAAAAUAAGAUUCUAAUUCUCGAAAAAUCUCAAUAAAUGAGGAUGCGUGAAAUGAUUAUGCAUGACUCAUAUUCCUUUAAUUAAAUUAUGAGAUGCUAAUCAUAUUUAAGGAAUUAAAGCUCGUCUUAUGAGGUCGGAUUAUUAAUCUUUAAUAAUCUACUCAUCUUAAAAUAAUCUAAUUCACUUACUAAUUAAUAAUUAGUAAGUCUUAAAAUUUUCUCUAAUUAAACUUAAUAGAAUAAUUAUGAAGGCCCAAUAAAAUAAUCAAGGCCCAAUAGGAAUUUAAUUCGAGCCCAAAUGAAUAAAUUCAAAGCCAAUGCAUAAAUAACAUUAGGCCCAACAAAUUAAAUGAACUAGGCCCAAUUGAGAAAGCCCAAAAUCCUCCCCAUAAGUCCUCACUCUCGGUUCUCUCUCUAUCAUCUCUCACGCCUCUCUAUCUCUCUUUCUCUCUACCGACAAUUCUCCUCUUUCUCUCCCUUUUAUCUUUAUUAAGUUAAUCUCUUUCUAUAUCUUUAUUAAAGCAAAACCUUCAUUCUCUUUUUUUAUUAUCAAACCGCACGCUCCCUCUAAAUUAUCGAGAAAAGAACGAACGCUCUCUCUCUCUCUCUCGCUUUUCUGCCGCUUGGCUCUCUUUCUCCAAUCCAACAUCGCCGUCCGCGUCUUGGGCCUUGGAGUCGCCGGCGAUGUCGCCGGCGAGUUCGCUCGUCUGCUCUGUUUCUGGUCUGGCCUAUCACGCUUCCUUUGGUCUCUCUGUCUCGCUCUGUCUCCUCGCCUGAGUCCGCCGUCGCUUCGUCUGUAUUCCGGUGACUGUAGACAUCGUUCGAGCCACGCCGUUGCUGUCGUUCUCGGGCUCCGAUGAGGCCGUAGGAGGUUGCCGUUUCCAGCGUUUCUCCGGGUUUUGAAGCCGAAGAGAGCUCCAUCGUCGCUGUCAUCUCUUCGAAGUCGAGCGCGUUUUGUUGAGGUUGGGCGGAUGAAGGUAGUUGCCGUUGCUUAGUUUGGAGUCCGGCGAGCGGUCGCCGCCUCCCUCCAUGAUGCCGCUGCUGUUAUUCUCAGAUUCUGCCGAGGUAGCAAGAGCGUCAUCGUCGUCGUCUCGGUUCGACCGACAGGGCCUGUCCCUUCUUCCUAAUAACUAGUUCGAAGCUUGUCUACUUGAAGUUUUAGUUCUCUAUAUUGUUUAUGCAAGGCUAGUGGCGUGUUCUUUUGGUUCUCAUGUUAUUUAGUAUUUCUUGAUGCAUUGCCUUGUUAAGGAUUCUAGUCUGAUGAUUCUAUAGCAGAAAUAUGCCAUUAAUUAAUAUCUCAGUACUUCUUGUACUAAACAUAGGUUUUGUUGGGAUGUGAAUGCUAAGCAUGUAAAUGGAGAGAGUAAACUGGGAUAAUAAUUACCUUGAAUGAUGCUUGGUUGAUGUUCUGUAUGAAUGGUGAUUUUGCUUCGUUUAAAAUCCUUUGCAGCUGCUAAGGAUUUUAGGUAAGUGAGGAUGCCUUUUAUAGGGAGUAAAUACUGAAGCUGAUAGUGUGAAAAUAUGGUGAAUAGUGCGGCUAAAUUGAGGCGUGGUUGAAGAAUUUAAUUGAUGAGAUUUUCUGCUGACAAUUGAGAUUUGUCUGUUGAAUAUUUUCUUUGACUAUGUAGGAGUGAAAUAAAAACUAAGCACGGGUGAGAAUAGAGUGGCUGAGGGAGCAUGGCGUGCUAGAUUUAAUACACGGAAUAAUAUCUAAAUUAAUAUCGUAGAUUUAAUUCUUCACAAGCCGGAAUAAAUUCACGACUCAAGAAAUAAUAAUAAUAAAUAGAAAAUUAAUUCUAUUGUGAUUAAUAAAUAACAUGACUUAACUAAGUCAGUUAUGAAUCUGAAAUGAAUAAUUAUUGGUUUACUCAAUAAUUCUCAUCGCGGUUUUACUCACGCGAAUCUAACUGGCUUAGUGAAAAAAAAUAAUAACCCUGCUUCAAUUAGAAUAUAAUCCAGUGUCAUAAGCUGAAUUUAAAUCAUAAAUAAUUAUUGGGCUUGAUUUACUGAAAGAUUAAAUAAUAAUUAUCGUAUUACUGGAUUUAAAUAUAAUAAAAGAGCGGGCUACUACAUACUACCCCUCUUAACAAAAAUUUCGUCCCGAAAUUUGCAUACUCCGAGAUGCUUAAGGUAACUAAUUUGUCCCUUAUCUUCUACACUUCUUGAUCACAAAUUAUUUCAAGUAUCUCGAUCAUUUUGGGUUCUUCCGGUAUGGCAUUAUGGUUUCUGCGAUUGUUAUUGCUUCUCACAGAGCGACCCCUCUUAGGCGGUAUUCUGAUAGCAGGGAUGUGUCAAUUAGUACACUCUAGCAUAAUCUAAUACAAGCCUCAAAAGAAUUCUUGUAAGGUCAACUUAUUAUAACUUGUAAACAAGUCAUGACUUCAAUGACAACAUUGAUGUAAUAAGCUUUAAGGGUCAUUAGCAUCUCAAAUCCAUGAGUCAUAAAAAUUCUUAAAGCAUAUAAUAUCACAUCAUCUAAAAUUGGAUACUUAGGCAUAAGUCAUGGAGAUUUAUAGCGGCUAUAAAAAUCACGAGUUUAAAAAUUUAUUCUAUACGUAUCACUUAUCUUGUUGUCCUCACUAUAGUCACCAAAAGAUACAGUCGAAUUUCUUGUAUGUUUGCUUCUAUGUUCUGUCGUAGUGGUGAUCUCAUAUCUUAAUAGCUCUAUGUUCAUAGGGACUCUUACCAUAGGCAUACUUAACCGUGCUUGCGUAAAUCAUUUCCUUCAAACAUAACAUAGCUAUUGACAGUUACACACUUUGUUAUUACGAUAAUUCGCACUUUUCGUAAACAUUAACUCAAAACAUGGAAGAGCUUACCAUUCUGCUUCGUUGAGUGUGAUGCGAUGAAGUGCUGAGCUUUGUCGAUUGAACUCUAGACACUUUAGUGUUCCAUUCUAAGUUUGGCUUAAAUAAACUCUUAGACUCAGAGCAAACGAACUGCUCUGAUACCAUUCUGUCACGACCGGCCUUAAUUAGAGAUAAUUAAUCCGGGAAAAUCGUGACUAGGGAAGGGAUUUAAGAAGCGGGGUUUAGAAAGGGCACAUUUGACUCAUUCAUAACUCGAUUAUAGACAUUAAUAUCUAGCAUUAAUUCUUGAAAUAAAAUUUAAGACAUUGAAGCAUUGACGCAUAUAAUUAAAAAAAAUACUCGAUGAACCCGAGUAAGCAUUAGAUAUUUCUUUGUAAGAGUAAUUGGCAUAUAGUUAUAGACUUGACUAAAUCAUAAUCAGUGUUUGCAGCGGAAGGCAAGACUGAGAUACAUGUAUGCAGACACAUAUCCUUUCUGAGCCUAUUCUAAGUUCGACAAAAGCUCCACUCAGCAACACUUCAUCGUUCAUCACAGCUCAACCUGCACAUUCAUAAACAUAUGCAGGGCUAAGUACAAAAGUACUUAGUGGGCAGUUGCCAAAAACUAAAUUAUAAGCUUAACAUUUUAUCAUCAACCAACAGCAUCAUAUAAGCGACAUGAAUCUUCUUUCAAGUUCUUUGCAUACUAUCAUUUUCAAAUUCAUAAAUAGCGUAAGUGCAUUCCUCAUCAUCAAAAGUCAUAUCAAUAAGCAUCGUGUCGUGAGGAAGAUCCUCAACGAACACAGGCAUCGCGCCGUGAGGGAGGCCUCCCUCAGCGGACACGGCAUCGUACUGUUUGAGGGAGGCCUCCCCCAACAGACGCUAGCAUCGUACCGUUGAGGGAGGCCUCCCUCAACGGACGUUUGACCGGCCAACCCUCUCAUUGACUCACGGUCGCGUUGCAUAUAUAAAUAUAUAUAUCCUGGCAAGAUAGCUAUCCGCUCAGGAAUCGAUCUUGUUAGCAUCAAAUAAGCAUUAGAUAAUAAGCAUAAAGCAUUAAAGCGUAACUCACAUAGGCGUUAAAUAAUAAGCGUAAAGCAUUAAAGCGUAACAAAGCGUGAACCACAUAGGCGCGUAACAAAGCGUAACUCACUUAAGCGUAAAUCACUUAAAAGCGUAACAAAGCAUAAAUAAUAAAUAAUAAAAUUUAAGUCGUAAUUAAGCGUAAAUAGCAUAGCGUAUAUUAUUAAAGCGUGACAAGCGUAGAUAAUAAAGAGAAAUAAAGUUUUAACUCAUUUAAGCAUAAUAAAGUAAAUAGCAUAGUGUAAUAUUAAAGCGUAACAAAGCAUAAAUUACAUAGGCAUAAAUAGUAUAAACAACAUAGCGUAAAUCAUUUAAGUGAAACAUAUAAAGCUUACUCAUAUAAAGUAAUAAAACAUAAACACUUAACAAUUCUACAUCAAUUAUAGUUUAUCUAAGAAAUGCCCACCUGAAUAGCAGACUCACGGUUUAGCUCUAACUCUGGUGCUUGACCUUUAAUCCGAGAAAAUAAAAUAAGAUUCUAAUUCUCGAAAAAUCUCAAUAAAUGAGGAUGCGUGAAAUGAUUAUGCAUGACUCAUAUUCCUUUAAUUAAAUUAUGAGAUGCUAAUCAUAUUUAAGGAAUUAAAGCUCGUCUAUGAGGUCGGAUUAUUAAUCUUUAAUAAUCUACUCAUCUUAAAAUAAUCUAAUUCACUUACUAAUUAAUAAUUAGUAAGUCUUAAAAUUUUCUCUAA
rnacentral:lncRNA from 1 species